rnacentral:rRNA from 1 species
AUGCUGGAGGUAUCAGAAGUGCGAAUGCUGACAUAAGUAACGAUAAAGCGGGUGAAAAGCCCGCUCGCCGGAAGACCAAGGGUUCCUGUCCAACGUUAAUCGGGGCAGGGUGAGUCGACCCCUAAGGCGAGGCCGAAAGGCGUAGUCGAUGGGAAACAGGUUAAUAUUCCUGUACUUGGUGUUACUGCGAAGGGGGGACGGAGAAGGCUAUGUUGGCCGGGCGACGGUUGUCCCGGUUUAAGCGUGUAGGCUGGUUUUCCAGGCAAAUCCGGAAAAYYAAGGCUGAGGCGUGAUGACGAGGCACUACGGUGCUGAAGCAACAAAUGCCCUGCUUCCAGGAAAAGCCUCUAAGCAUCAGGUAACAUCAAAUCGUACCCCAAACCGACACAGGUGGUCAGGUAGAGAAUACCAAGGCGCUUGAGAGAACUCGGGUGAAGGAACUAGGCAAAAUGGUGCCGUAACUUCGGGAGAAGGCACGCUGAUAUGUAGGUGAAGUCCCUCGCGGAUGGAGCUGAAAUCAGUCGAAGAUACCAGCUGGCUGCAACUGUUUAUUAAAAACACAGCACUGUGCAAACACGAAAGUGGACGUAUACGGUGUGACGCCUGCCCGGUGCCGGAAGGUUAAUUGAUGGGGUYAGCGCAAGCGAAGCUCUUGAUCGAAGCCCCGGUAAACGGCGGCCGUAACUAUAACGGUCCUAAGGUAGCGAAAUUCCUUGUCGGGUAAGUUCCGACCUGCACGAAUGGCGUAAUGAUGGCCAGGCUGUCUCCACCCGAGACUCAGUGAAAUUGAACUCGCUGUGAAGAUGCAGUGUACCCGCGGCAAGACGGAAAGACCCCGUGAACCUUUACUAUAGCUUGACACUGAACAUUGAGCCUUGAUGUGUAGGAUAGGUGGGAGGCUUKGAAGUGUGGACGCCAGUCUGCAUGGAGCCGACCUUGAAAUACCACCCUUUAAUGUUUGAUGUUCUAACGUUGACCCGUAAUCCGGGUUGCGGACAGUGUCUGGUGGGUAGUUUGACUGGGGCGGUCUCCUCCUAAAGAGUAACGGAGGAGCACGAAGGUUGGCUAAUCCUGGUCGGACAUCAGGAGGUUAGUGCAAUGGCAUAAGCCAGCUUGACUGCGAGCGUGACGGCGCGAGCAGGUGCGAAAGCAGGUCAUAGUGAUCCGGUGGUUCUGAAUGGAAGGGCCAUCGCUCAACGGAUAAAAGGUACUCCGGGGAUAACAGGCUGAUACCGCCCAAGAGUUCAUAUCGACGGCGGUGUUUGGCACCUCGAUGUCGGCUCAUCACAUCCUGGGGCUGAAGUAGGUCCCAAGGGUAUGGCUGUUCGCCAUUUAAAGUGGUACGCGAGCUGGGUUUAGAACGUCGUGAGACAGUUCGGUCCCUAUCUGCCGUGGGCGCUGGAGAACUGAGGGGGGCUGCUCCUAGUACGAGAGGACCGGAGUGGACGCAUCACUGGUGUUCGGGUUGUCAUGCCAAUGGCACUGCCCGGUAGCUAAAUGCGGAAGAGAUAAGUGCUGAAAGCAUCUAAGCACGAAACUUGCCCCGAGAUGAGUUCUCCCUGACUCCUUGAGAGUCCUGAAGGAACGUUGAAGACGACGACGUUGAUAGGCCGGGUGUGUAAGCGCAGCGAUGCGUUGAGCUAACCGGUACUAAUGAACCGUGAGGCUUAACCUUACAACGCCGAAGSUGUU